UCAACAGGCCCCACCCCAUUAAAUUGUGUUGCUUCCUUACAAUGAGAGACAACUAUACAGGUGAUCAUUUCACUCACCCUCGGGUGAUCUAAUUACAGCCAUGAGAUCACCUGAGGGUCAACGUUUCUCAAUCAAAUGUAAUGCAGUGUUGGUCUUAGUUGCAAAACUUUGUUUAUGAGUCACAUCAGAAAAGGGAUGAUCCUACGCGACUUGUUUCCUAAGACAAACCAACUAGACUAAAGCAGAGGAGCAGUGGACAUGCAGGGUCACAUUCAUCUCUCAGACAGAGGGUGACAGAGUGUCAGCGGAGCAGAACAAAGGUCUCACCUGACAAGAUGCUGCAACUCACCUUUUUGUCUUUAAGGUAAGUCAUUCAUUAACACUGUCAGCCAUGAUUUGAUUAAUAAUAGCCGUGAUAAUUUAAUCAGAGAUUACACUUUGACAGUGACUGUUGGUCCAUACCACAGGAGGGGAGAGAUAUUAGCAUGUCAGCUAAUGAAAAAGUCGUAUUAAUUACCUUUACAUGUUUUUAAAAAUGAGCAUCAAGUUAAAAACAAAAUGUCCAUCUUUUGGUUAUGCAACAUGCAGUGUUUGGAGGACUGGAGGGAAAUAACCUUGAUUGUUUCAGACAUUUCAGUUUGUUUUUGAAUUACAGUUUUUUAUAAAAAAUGACAAUAACCAAUACAGCCAAAUGUCUUCGUUUAGGAGAGUAGACAGUCACAUAGAAGCAUUAUAAGAGUGUAGUUGGGGACAGUGUUGCUUAGAGCCAAAUGCUAAUGUCAGGGUGCUAACACGACCACAGUAAUUAUGUUAAUAUGCUGAUGAUUUGCGGGGGGGCAGAUUGAAGCACGCUAUCUUCUAAUAAGCAGUAAAUGUACAUUGCUAAGGCUGAUUUGAGUUCUCUGUAGUUACAUAAAAGGAAAUGGUAAAAUGGAUGUAUCUGUGGACCGUGUUGUAUAACCACUGUUGGAUUAUCAGUGGCAGUUGAAGAAUAGUAGAUAUCAAAAACUAAUUUUUGACUUGUUAGAAAUCCAAGCCAACAGAUCCUGUAUUUCAUUUUGACGAGCAACAAUUCGAUUCAAAGAUAUCAACAUUUUUCCUUGUCAAAAUUCUGUCAGACUCAUCAAUUCAUUUUUAUUCUAUAAUCAUCCCUAUAAAUGUGUUUAAAUUCUCAUUCAGCUCUUUUUAGUGUACAUCAACCUAAUUACAUUGUGAUGUAUUGCACUAUAUUAUAUUAUACUAUGUUAUAUUUGAUUUUGUAUAACUGCACUGUUAUUCUUUAGAUCGUAAUAUCACACUGCUCUUUUACUGCUGUUUACAUAACCCUAAACUUUUUGAUCACACAAGUCACUUUAUAUCAUCACUGGUCACUUUAACUUGACAUCCACUACACAUAAUUCGUAAUUGUCCUGUAUUGUUUAACUAUUUAUAUUCUUUUGUAUAUACAUCCUAUUGUUGUUUCUAUCUGUAUUUAUCUUAUCUAUCCUGUGAAUUUUGUAUUACUUCUUUCUCUGUCUUGCUGCUGCAAUGCCCGAAUUUCCCCUCUGGAGAUCAAUAAAGUAUUAACCUAUCCUAUCCUCUGUAGAGUUUCUGCUCUGGCUCUCUGCCGCUUUCUGCUGGUCAGAUCUCAGACACCGUAGGCUUGUCUUGUUUUGCAGAUUGCAAAGCUAUUCAUCUAUCAAAACAAUUGCCGUAAGUGUUUGUUGUAGAAUUAUUGAAAUCACAAAAUGUUUUAGAUUUGGCAAUUUCAGUAUAUUUUAUUUACAGUUUUAUAAACAAGCUGAUUCAAUGCAAGAUCUUCUUGGAAAAAGGUAAGAAAAACAAGUGAUUUCUCGAUUAAGGGGUUACAUGUGUGUGUGUGUGUGUGUGUGUGUGUGUGUGUGUGUGUGUGUGUGUUUAUGCAUGCCUGUUUGUCACAACUGUUGUGUGCAUGUGUAACUAUUAUUUAAGACAUUCUCAGUUGCAGUCGUAAUACAAGUGCAGUUAUAAUCUGCUCAACCCUAUUCACACGGAACCAGACUCUAUUUACAAUUCAUUCAAGGUAAGCGCUCCACACAGGUCGGCUGACUGUACACGGCAACAACAGGCAUCCAGAAACAAACUAAAGCAUUGGAAUCAACAAGUAUAGCAUGCACACGGCAGAAUGAUCAGAAGCAAACUCUCAGUCAAAAUUUAGAAACCAAAUUCUGUUGCAGCGAGUGUCAUAGUUUCUCUUGUAACGACUUAGAUAAUACCUUGAAAUAUGAAAAAUGAAAUAAAAUGUAAAAAAAAAAACAUAGGUGGAAAUAAAA